ACCUGCGGAAGGAUCAUUAAAAGAAAUUGGUUAUACAUUUCAUGUAUCAACUGUUUAAACCCAUUCUGUGUACCUUGCCUGUUGCUUCCAUGGAGCCUGACUUUGGUCACUCUUGUGAUGUAAAUCCCAAGGGAGUCCCCAUGGAAGGUCAUCAAUAAAACUCAUGUAUCCAAUGUCUUCUGUCUGAACUGUUUAUAACAAUUGUUAAAACUUUCAACAACGGAUCUCUUGGUUCUCGCAUCGAUGAAGAACGCAGCGAAAUGCGAUAAGUAGUGUGAAUUGCAGAAUUCAGUGAAUCAUCGAAUCUUUGAACGCACAUUGCGCCUCCUGGUAUUCCGGGAGGCAUGCCUGUUCGAGCGUCAUUAAAUACCUCUCAAGCACCAUUGCUUGGUCAUGGAAGAUGAGUAUGCUUGCAUUCUCCCUUCUGAAAUUCAAAGGCGGAUCAUCUCAUAUUCCCUGGCGUAGUAAGUGUUUAUCUUUCGCUUGGAGUGUCUGACAGUCUUGCCAUCGACCCCCAUUAUUUCAAGGUUGACCUCGGAUCAGGUAGGG
rnacentral:rRNA from 1 species